rnacentral:lncRNA from 1 species
CAUCUAUGGGGAGGAAAAAGCCCUGGGUUAUCAUCCAACCACAGCUUUGUACUUUCUUCAAAUUCGUGAGGCAUUUGGAAAAGAAGGACUCAAAGUUCUGAUAUGAUCAAGAUGGGGAGAAAUGACCAUUUUUACAGCCCUGACUGUUCAAACAGCCACAGUGGAGUGGGGAUUUUCAUUUGAGAGUCAUCCCAGUGAAGCAUUGUCAAUUCGUCCCAUGCUGUAUGUUCAUGGCAGGAACACCUGUGCGAGUAUAGCUGGUGCCUCCUCCAUCCUCCCCUCUCCCCACGAAAACAUCACAGGCCUCAGCAGAUCACAAGUGUCUUGGCAAAAGGCGUCUUUAAGAAGUGACAGCAAUU